CCUCGUUUUCCAGAAGCAUCACCUGGAAACUGUUAGCAGCCAACACACCAGCGCACCUCCUAACCUCCUCCUCCUCGGGAGAGGGAGAGGCGAGCUGAUGUGACGGGCAGGGCGCUGGGGUGGAUCUGCGCUCCCUUUUAUUCUGGGGGGCAUUAACACGCACGAGAAACGGCAGAGGCGCCGCUCUUGGCACGAGAAAUGGCGCACUUUGCCGUUAUCCUCCACCACCUCCUCCACCACCACCUCCUCCCCCAUUCGAAACCGAGCAAACGGCCCCACGACUCGCGUACAAGGACCCGAAAUCACGAACCGUGACCGAGGUGAGUUAAACCGGAGGAGGGUGUGGGUGAGCCACCUGUACUGAAGCAAAACAGUGGUGGAUUUGUCCUCUCCUUACCUUUACCGCUACACACAGGCUAACCUUGCAGCACACCCAGGAGGAACCUGGCCAGCAUCAUCGUGAUGAGCGGGGGUCCUACGUCAGCCAGAAGUGGAGUGAUUGAGGUCACAAUUGCCCAGGAACAAGUGGAAAGUAACAGGACUAUCUCUCCACCAAUCCUGUCAAAACAUUAUACUCAUCCUGUGUUCCACAAGUUAUCAGCAAAAGCCUUCACAUGCCCUGCCCGUCAAAAGACAGGGGACACUGUCUUCUUUUGAAGUUUUAAUUUCUCUGUUACGCCAAUCAAGCAAAAAACUUGCAAAUGUUUAGUUGACAUAAAACAAGGUGUGACCUUUGAUAUGAAGAGCAGUAUAUAAUAUGGUAAGAUAUU